CUUUUAGCGGCCGAGCGAAGCGCGUGUCUGUGGUCCCCAUUUCUCAUCGAAAAGAUCAAAGCCUGGCACGCGACCCGUUAGCUGCCGCAUCCGUCGCACGCGGCACUUUUCCUUGAAUCAUCAAUUUUGGGCCAGGGUGCAUAAUUAAAACAUUUUUAAUCCCAACCAAGUGAUGCAGAAGAAGAGCGCGCGGUCUACUCCUCCCACGUGCUCCACACGCACCUUCCUCGUGUCCCCGUCAGGGACCUUGUGGGGUCCGAGCCUCCCCACCCGACGCUGAUCUUCGUGGGCUGAGAGGCGCAGGACGGACCUGGCUUCAGAGGAAUGAUCAUCAUGUCUGUCGGAAAUGUGUUGACAUUCGGACUUCUGCUCGGUGGCUUGAUGUCCUUCGCGGUCUCGCACGGGAAUGCCGGUCGUAAGCCUGACACGAACCCCCGGUCCAGGGGCACUGUGGGCGAAGGGGGUCUCCAGUCAGUUUUGGACAGCACCGUGUCCCCUGCCUUGGGCGCAACCAUCAUAAUCAUCCUCACGGUGAUCGUGUCGGGCAGCGCCUACCUCUGCUUCCUCAAGUACGUAUGCGCCGGCUGCUGCAGGACCGCCCAGGUAGCGCCCAGCAAUCACCCGGACCCCAGCAGGGCCGAGGAGCAGGUGUAGGGGCUGAGCACUCUGUGUGUGCGUGCAUGUGAGUGAAACUGUGUCCCAGCUUCUUAAAUGGAUUAAAAGAUGGGAACUGUUAAUAAAGGACUGAACUAGUAAUCGCGGGUAACCA
rnacentral:lncRNA from 1 species